rnacentral:rRNA from 1 species
GACAGAGGGUGCUAGCGUUGUUCGGAAUGACUGGGCGUAAAGGAUGCGUAGGCGGCUAUAUUAGUCGAGCGUGAAAGCCCCGGGCUCAACCUGGGAACUGCGUUCGAUACUGUAUAGCUUGAGACCGGGAGAGGAAAGCGGAAUUUCUAGUGUAGAGGUGAAAUUCGUAGAUAUUAGAAGGAACAUCAGAGGCGAAGGCGGCUUUCUGGACCGGUACUGACGCUGAGGCAUGAAAGCGUGGGGAGCAAACAGG